UGAAUAAGUCGUAAUAUUUUACUUAAUAGAACGUUUCUCUUAGAUUGUUUCGGAUAAAAUCUUUAAUCUCGCUCUCUUUUCUUACACGUCACAUAUAAAGAUUAGUGUGUGAUACAUAGUAUAGGUUAGCGAUAUGUUACAUAGUUUCGUAAUAUUUAGGAUUAUGUGUAAGAGAAUUUCCUCUCGAAAGAAUAUAUGACGUCACAUUAUCGUAUUUCCUGGUUACAAAUGUUUAACAACAAAAAAAUUUGAUAACUAUUUAUGAAAUAUUUUACGAAAAAUAAUAGGGAAAUAUUUAUUUCAUAAUUUUUUAUAACUUUUAAGAUGUAAAUAUUAUUUAUUUAUUAUUUUAUUUUUAAAUUAUCUUUAUAUAGUUAUUUUUUAUAUAGUUUUAACUCACGUUGUAAAACUAGGAGCUACACAUAUAUGUAGGAAAGAUUUAUUCGAAUCAGCAAUUAUAUGAUAUACUCAAGAUGACAUACAUAUGCAUGGGUGUCCAAAGUUCCGCUUACUUCGUGCAACCAAUCAACGUUCUUUCGAAUUCAUGUGUCUGAUGGAGAUGGUAACGAAGCUUUGUCAUCACGUUAAUUACAGGUAAUUAGCAUGUAUUUUAUAACAUAGAGUAUCUUCCAAUACAUAAAUCGAUUCUCAAGUAAAUCAUUUCCAAUUGACAUUGUUAACGAGUCAUGACAACGUCGAGAUUAAAAGAUAUUCGCGUGGAAGAUAAUUUUAUAAAAGCGCAUGGAUAUUUUCCAUACAUAUUCUCUUUUUCAUAUUUUUGAGCUUUAUUUUUAUAGGUAUCGAACUGUAAUGAUUAAUUUUCAUAGUUUGGAUCAAUGAACUAUCAGUUUAUAGAGUUUGAAAAUUUGUACAUCAUAUUUUUAAUGUUUCGAUAUUUUCGUAUAAUAGAUUGAAAAAUUGCAAGCUUCAUGAGGGACUAUUGUACAUUGUGCAGUACUGCGCAUGCGCAAGGGCACUUAUUGCUAGUAAACUUGCCAUUUUUAAUUAUUUUGUGAUAUCUGUUCUAUUGGAGCUCGUUUCGUUAAUUAUAAAUAAUUAGUAUCUUUUUUCUAACGUAUACCUUUAUUUUAUAUACCAAUCAAUUGUGGAAAACGCGAUUUUCACGCGUGAAUGUGCGUAAGUUUUGGCAUCGUUUUGUUUAAAAAAUACCCGCGAAAAUAAAAUUGACGUCUCAAUGUUUUCUAGGUUCGUUUUCUAUUUUGAAUUUUCUACUUAUAUUUUCGCGAUACUGAUACCUUUUUCGUCUAUUAACGAUGUUUUAAUUGAUACUCUUUCAUUAAUUAAUCUCGUUUGAUUAUAUUUCGUCUUAUAUACGAUAUUCAUAUACAUAUACGUAAGUGCAUAUAUGUAUAUACAUAAGGAUAUAUACGUAUAUCGAUACGAUAUGAAAACAUAUACGUACGCAAUUAAUUUUCUAUUGUAUUAAUAUCGAUCUAAUUAUUUUUCAGUUUUUCAAGAAGCCUAUAAGAUGAAAAAACUCUACAUAAUAUAUUAGAAAUAAUAUUAAUGUAACUACUUUACAGACAUACGUUAUUAGCAUGUAUUUAUUUAAAGAAUAUUAAAAAGCACAAAGAAUACUAAAAAUUUAA